CAAUGCUCAUAUCUUGAAGCGCAAGCCCUCUAGGAUCAACGCCAUCAUCAUGGGCUUUAGAUUUAGAGGCGUACAGAACAUUUACAAAUACAAUGUGGUCGCAAGCCAAGUAUACCAACUAUGUGGUCACAAUCCUUGCCCAAAUUGGGGCACUCCAUAAUGCAUCAGAGUUCCUCUCUGGUACUCCUUGGAAAACGAUAUUCUUGCAUCCCAACUCCUUAUUAUACCUACUAUGGAUUCCCCUUGAACUCCAUUAGCUAUGAUGCGUCCAUCCUUAAAUACGUGGCACACAUGGG